rnacentral:rRNA from 1 species
GGGCCCGCACAAGCGGAGGAGCAUGUGGUUUAAUUCGAUGAUACGCGAGGAACCUUACCUGGGCUUGAAAGUUAGUGACCGCUCCUGAAAGGGAGCCUUCAGCAAUGACACGAAACUAGGUGCUGCAUGGCUGUCGUCAGCUCGUGCCGUGAGGUGUUGGGUUAAGUCCCGUAACGAGCGCAACCCCUAUCAUUAGUUGCCAUCAGGUAAAGCUGGGGACUCUAAUGAGACUGCCCGCGCAAGCGGUGAGGAAGGUGGGGAUGACGUCAAGUCAUCACGGCCCUUACGUCCAGGGCUACACACGUGCUACAAUGGUAGAUACAGCAGGUUGCCACAUGGUAACAUGGAGCUAAUCCCUAAAGUCUAUCUCAGUUCGGAUUGAGGUCUGCAACUCGACCUCAUGAAGCUGGAUUCGCUAGUAAUCGGAAAUCAGCAAUGUUCCGGUGAAUACGUUCCCGGGCCUU